CGCUCACCUUGGUAUAUGUGAAUAUUAAACAAAAGAAGCAGAUAGAUUCAUGACAAAAUUGUGUUUUGGUGAUGGUGAUGUGUUUGUACAUCUUACUUUACUGAACAUUCUUGCUGCUUACAAUUAUCUCUAUCUAUAAUGAACUUGGUCCAGUAGUUUCAGUGGAAAAUGUUAGUAAAAAUUUACAAAUUUUAUGAAAAUUGUUAAAAAUUGACUAUAAAGGACAAUAACUCCUUAGGGGGUCAAUUGACCAUUUCAGUCAUGUUGACUUAUUUCUAAAUCUUACUUUGCUGAACAUUAUUGCUGUUUACAGGUUAUC
rnacentral:lncRNA from 1 species